rnacentral:sRNA from 1 species
UUCGAUUCGAGCGAAAGCGAGAAAGCGUUGCCAACGGCAACGACCCGAAGGGCGAAGCGCGCAGCGCUGAGUAAUCCUUCCCCCGUCAUCC